AUGGUGGAGAGGCGGUCGCGGAGGAAGCCGCUGGUGCUCGCGUCCACGCAGGCGCUCCUCGACUCGCUCCCGGGGGAGCGCCGCGGGCCGGCCCCGCCGCCGCCGGAGUCGGUGCGCCUCAGGGCCGGCGUCCUCCGCUUCCCCGCCCGCCCCUCCGGCCCCGGAUGCGGCGGCGAGUUCGGCGACCUCGCGUCCUUCGUCGCCCUCCCCACUUCCGCGCUCCGCCGGCUCGCCGUCGUCACCGGCACGACGGUGCUUGUGAAGAAUACCGAUAAUAAUGUUGGGAGGAUUGUCAAGGCAGUAGUAUUGGAUCGGCCAUCCCUCGAGGAGUCCAAGAGAGAGCAUCCUGAUUCUGACCCUGUGGCCUCAACCUCUUCUUCUGAUCGUGUGAUGGGAUUCUUACCUACUCGCUCAUUUCCAGCCAACGGCUUUGCACCCUUGGAUGAAGAUGUUGCUUAUGUUAGCCCACUUUUGGCGUUCAACCUGGGAGUGCAUGUUUCCUGUCUCAAGCUUCUUAUUCAGAAAGGGGAGGAACCUUUCAAGUUUUGCUCUAAAGUUUUCGAGGAUGGUUCUGCUGGUAGUGGGACUGGUAUUUCUCUUCACCUAGAACUUCUCCCAUGCCCACAAGUGCCUAAACAUGCUUUGCACUUACGGGUUUCUGUUGUGAGGAUUCCUGAUUGUGGUGUGCUUGCUUCCCUAAAGAUAAAUUCAGCCAUUGGAGGAAGUGACUACCAAGAUAUGAUAGAUCAAGCUUUAAAUGAACACUUCAAGUUUGAUAGGUUCCUAGCAAGCGGGGAUGUGUUUUGCAUACAUAAUGACUGGAAUUGUGGCAUGAUCUCUUGCCUAGCGUGCAAUAAGGAGAAUGAUAGACUGCAUCCUCCUAGCAUGAUAUACUUUAAGGUAACCGGCAUGGAACCAUCAAAUGAGCCGAUUCUUCGUGUUAACCGUGAUCAAACAGCCCUUGUCCUUGGGGGAAGUGCUUCUGCUCCAAUCCCUCCCUGCAGCUUCUUUUCUGCCAAUGAUGAUUCAGUCCCUUUGCAUGGCGAAGUGGUGGAGCAAUUAGCAUCCAUCAUCGCACCAGCAUUAUGUCCUUCAAACAUUUUACCAAGGAUCAAGUUUUCCACUUUCUUGUACGGCCCAUCAGGAUGUGGAAAAAGAACGGUAGUCAGGCAUGUUGCGAACCAUCUUGGUAUGCAUGUGGUUGAGUGUUGCUGUCAUGAUCUGAUGACAUCAUCAGAAAGCGGGGCAUCUGCUGCACUUGUGGCUGCCUUCAAAGAAGCUCAGAAGUAUUCUCCUUCUAUAAUACUUCUUCGCCACUUUGACGCAAUUGGGAAUACAUCCUCCAAUGAAGGCCCACAAUCUGAGCAAUCUGGCAUUGCAGCAAAUGUUGAGUCUGUCAUUAAGCAGUACACUGGACAGCGUUGGGUUGUGAAAGACUCGCUGCCAGCAAGGGAUGUGAUUGGAAAUUCAUACCUUGUGGAGCCUGAAUGUGUAAGCUCCGUUCAAGUUAUACUAGUGGCAACUGCAGACAGUGCUGAAGGAAUGCAGCAAUCAAUUAGGCGAUGUUUCCGCCAUGAGGUCAACAUGAAGACUAUAAAUGAAGACCAGAGGAAGAAUUUGAUAUCUGAAACACUCCAUGGUGUCUCAGCAGUUGCUGAUGAGAGUAUCGAUGACAAGUUUGUAAAAGAUAUAUCAGUGCAAACGUCUGGGUUCAUGCCUAGGGAUAUACUUGCAUUGGUCGCAGAUGCUGGUGUGUCAUUUGCGCAUAAAGUUGCAGUGGAGAAAAGCAGCAAUGAUGAGCUUGAGGAUGCCCCUACCGCAAGCUCUUCUACCACUCAGAAAGAAGAAAAUCAUUUCUGUAAAGAAGAUAUUUUGUCUUCCUUAGAACGGGCUAAGAAAAGGAAUCGUGCUGCAUUGGGUACACCAAAAGUUCCUGAUGUCAAAUGGGAGGAUGUUGGUGGGCUUGAGGAAGUGAAGAAGGUUAUUCUAGAUACAAUUCAGUUACCUCUGUUGUACAAGCACCUUUUUUCUUCUAAAUUGCCAAAGCGAUCAGGUGUCCUGUUAUAUGGACCUCCAGGCACUGGGAAGACAUUACUGGCGAAAGCAGUAGCAACUGAGUGCUCAUUAAACUUUCUUAGCGUAAAAGGUCCAGAACUGAUAAACAUGUAUGUUGGAGAAUCAGAGAAGAAUGUCAGGGACAUCUUUGAGAAGGCUAGAUCAGCACGCCCAUGUGUGAUUUUCUUCGAUGAGCUUGAUUCCCUUGCUCCUGCACGAGGAUCCUCUGCAGAUUCUGGAGGUGUGAUGGAUAGAGUGGUUUCUCAGUUGCUGGUGGAGAUUGAUGGGUUAAGUGAUAACAGCCAGGACCUCUUCAUAAUUGGGGCUACCAAUAGGCCCGACCUUCUUGAUUCUGCACUUCUCCGCCCUGGCCGAUUUGAUAAGCUGUUGUACAUUGGUGUAAAUACUGAAGCAUCAUACAGGGAAAGGAUACUGAAAGCACAGACUCGCAAGUACAAACUCAACGAGAAUGUAUCUCUCUUGUCGAUUGCUCAGCACUGUCCUCCAAACUUCACUGGUGCUGAUAUUUAUGCAUUAUGUGCGGAUGCAUGGUUUCAUGCCGCUAAGCGUUCCGUCAAAACGCUUGAAGCCGAUCCUUCGAGAAAUAACGACGCCGGUGCAGAAGAGGUCAUUGUCGAGACUGAAGAUUUUAUGACGGUGUUGGGUGAUAUCUCGCCGUCGUUGUCAAUGGAGGAGUUGCAAAACUAUGAACAGCUGAGGCAGAAGAUCGAAGGACCUUCUAGAUGA
rnacentral:rRNA from 1 species